GCCACCCUAGCUCAGCGGCAGAGCAGCUGUUUUGUAAACAGCAGGUCGUCGGUUCGAAUCCGACGGGUGGCUCAA
rnacentral:tRNA from 1 species